rnacentral:rRNA from 1 species
UACAGAGGGUGCGAGCGUUGUCCGGAAUCACUGGGCGUAAAGAGUGCGUAGGCGGUCCUGUAAGUUUGGUGUGAAAUCUCCCGGCUCAACUGGGAGGGUGCGCCGAAGACUGCAGGGCUUGAGUAUGGGAGAGGUAAGCGGAAUUCCUGGUGUAGCGGUGAAAUGCGUAGAUAUCAGGAGGAACACCUGUGGUGUAGACAGCUUACUGGACCAUAACUGACGCUGAGGCACGAAAGCGUGGGUAGCAAACAGG